rnacentral:misc_RNA from 1 species
GAUGAAGAACGCAGCGAAAUGCGAUAAGUAAUGUGAAUUGCAGAAUUCAGUGAAUCAUCGAAUCUUUGAACGCACAUUGCGCCCGCCAGUAUUCUGGCGGGCAUGCCUGUUCGAGCGUCAUUUCAACCAUCAAGCCCCAGGCUUGUGUUGGGGGCCUGCGGCUGCCGCAGGCCCUGAAAACCAGUGGCGGGCUCGCUGUCACACCGGGCGUAGUAGAUUUUAUCUCGCUCAGGGCGUGCUGCGGGUUCCGGCCGUUAAAAAGCCUUUUUUACCCAAGGUUGACCUCGGAUCAGGUAGGAAGACCCGCUGAACUUAAGCAUAUCAAUAAGCGGAGGA